UGUUUGUGCUCGUCGGCGGGACGGUGCAAGGCGCAACUCCGACGCGGUUCCUCGCCGGUUGGACGGCGUUCAGGCGCAACCCCGGCGCGCACUGAGUACUGCCUCGGCUACAGCCUCCCUCGGUGAGGUCCAUCUUCCUCCCGCUCCUCUGCUUCGGCUACUGUAUGGGACAUGGCCAUGGCUAUACUGAUGUGGUGCUUGUCUGGUUGAUGCUCUAUGCCCUACUCAUGCAUCGGUUCCUACUUGAGCUCUGUACUUGUGGAUCCAUGCCAUUUUAGGGUUUGCAGGCUGCUGUUCAUGUUUAGUUGCUAUCAUAGGAGCUAAUGUGAUGCUCUGGUUUACAUGUGGAUGCCCUGGUCCUAUAGCUAUGCUCCUGGAUUUGAUAGAUUGAUCAGUGGCGUUCGUGCUUGGGCGAUGAUGAUUAAUCGUGGCUGAAAUAAGUGUGCCUUUGAGCAAUCGUGGCACCUGUGCGUAUCAGGUUGGAUCCUCCCUCUUGUCUCUAGAAUCCUUUUUGAUCCUGUGAUACUUGUUGUUGUCCUUGGAUGGUCAUUCUUGUUGAGUGAUAACCAGGGCAACUCCACUGUAUGAACAGAUUGAUCUGGUGAUAAGAGAUGACGGGGGUAGGUUAUAUGAUCGAGGAAAGGUGAAUCUGAGCCCGAUAUGCAUCCCCUUGUUAGAGUCUGAACCGAAAAGGAGCUCUCCCGUGCGUUUCCACUUGUUAGAGUCUGAACCGAAAUGGAGCUCUCCCGUGCGUUUGGAUUCUGGACCGUCGGAUCAAAAUCUCCUCGCGAUACAAGCCGUCGGAUCUCGAUCCAAAUCGCUGUGGGUCGUUGGAUAUUUACCGAUCAACUUCGGCCGUCGGAUAAAAUUCCAAUGGCAACAGAAUGUAAAUAUCGUGCCCCCACCAGGGCAUCUGGGNNNNNNNNNNNNNNNNNNNNNNNNNNNNNNNNNNNNNNNNNNNNNNNNNNNNNNNNNNNNNNNNNNNNNNNNNNNNNNNNNNNNNNNNNNNNNNNNNNNNNNNNNNNNNNNNNNNNNNNNNNNNNNNNNNNNNNNNNNNNNNNNNNNNNNNNNNNNNNNNNNNNNNNNNNNNNNNNNNNNNNNNNNNNNNNNNNNNNNNNNNNNNNNNNNNNNNCCGCGGCUUCCUGCGAUGAAAACCUAGCUGCCGCCUCCUCUCUCACUCGCUCUUCUAGCUGCCUCCCUCCCUCCCACGCAGGUGGUUCCCAUGGCGAUGGCGGCAGCGGCCACGGAGGAGGGCGGCAUAUCAGCGGCGCCGGCAAUGGUGUCCGUGCCGGCUAUGCAAUGAACCCUGAACCAUUUUUAUUUGUAUUUAAAGGUGUUGCUUAUUUAUGCUCAAGUGGUGUUCGUGCUAGGGCGAUGAUGAUUACCUUGGCUGGAAUUAGUGUGCCUUUGAGCAAUCGAGGCACCAGUGGGUAUCAAGUUGGAUCCUCCCUCUUGUCUCUAGAAUCCUUUUUGAUCCUGUGAUACUUGUUGUUGUCCUUGGAUGGUCAUUCUUGUUGAGUGAUAACCAGGGCAGCUCUACUGUAUAAACAGAUCGAUCUGGUGAUAAGAGAUGAUGGGGUAGGUUAUAUGAUCGACGAAAGGCAAAUCUGAGCCCACUAUGCAAUAAAACUGCAGUACCUCCCCUAAUGUUUGUAAUAUUGAAGGAAAAAAAGAACUUUUCAUGUCUUGCUACUUUAAAAUUCCAAAAGGUUCAUUCUUCCUUUGCUGGUUACUUAACCAUGUUUUUUGUUUUGCUUUGGUUCUGGUUGAGAUACUAAAGGUUGUUUUUAUAUGAAAAGAACAGACACUUAUAGUUUUGUAUGCCUCAACUGUAGCUCAGGAUCCAGUGUUGUAGUGUUUUGCCUAAUUAAAAAAAACUCUAAUCAAUAAUAGUCGUUCUUUCCUUAUGAUUUGAACUCUGAGAGGGCCAUUGAUUCUUGAUCUUAAGGUGACCCCAUUUUUCUAUGCGUCAUGCUGCUCUAUGUUCCUUUUUAAAAAUUCUUGCUUGCAUUUUGGGUUGGUUUUCUGCUCUAUGUUCCCUUUUAGUGUUUCUUUCCGUUGUUGCUGCACUCCCUUUUCUGUAUACUACAUGAUCUUUUUGUAUCUCAUUCUGCUGCUUCUUGGUUAUUAGAUGCUUUGAGUUUGAGUGGCUUGAAGAUACAGAUUACACAAUGUUCUGUUCUGUCAUAUGCCAUGUUGAUAUGGAUACAAUGUUAGCUUUUGAUAUGAGCUAGAAUUAUGUUGCCCCACCAGCCUGAAAAUGUGAUAAAUAAAAGCCUACAAUGCUCGUUUAUUUGUAUUUACAGGCUUCCUUGUGCAGAUAAUUUACUCUUUGUUCCAUAGGAUCACAUUUGGUAGUGGCGUGACCUGAACCUUGAUGCUUUCUUCUUGCUGCUGCUGCUGUAUUAUGUAAUGGAACUGUUAGAUAAGGUAGUUAACUGUCUAGCCGUAGGUCUUAGUAGUGCAGAUUCAUUUUCUUUUCUAGGGUGUGCAGAACAAGAUCAGGAGAUGGUAGUAACUGGCAGCUACUUCUGAGUAUAAAUUUUGCUUUUCUGGAUUAUCAUAUUCCUUUUGUUUCUCAUAAUGAAGCCGCCGGGCAGUGCUCCAAUCUUGUAUUACUGGGCAGUGCACGCCGUUGCCACCAGUUGCGCCUUGCGCGGCCGAGGGGCGCCAGCCGCAGGUGCUCGAUGCGGCGCUCCCCUGUCACUCCUUCUGCGACCGCUGUAGGUGUUCCCUGGUCGUUCUUCCUCCUCCAUUGGCAGGAGGGGCUCGGCUGCAGUUCUGCUACAGUCAAUCUCUCUCUCUCUCUCUCUCUCUCUCUCUCUCUCUCUCUGCUCCACCCAUCAUCGUGGAAUUGCAGGUCGUUCAUUAACACUAUUUGAUAUCUGAGAACUAGAAAUGCUGAAAUCUGAAAAUUGGAAUCUCCAGUUAACUGAAUUUUUGAACGUUUAAUCUUGUCUAACUAUUUGUGAGGUUUAUUGGGUUUCCAGUAGAUAAAACCUACCCUAUGUAUUUAUAAAUGGAGCAGAACUGUAUUUAUAGAACUUCAGAGAAUAUAUUGUUGUCUUCAUAUUCUUUUAUUACUGGAGCCACCAUACAAAACUCUCUAGAGCAGAAUUCUAUUUCAACUAUAAAUGACAGGAACAAAACUUUUAUAUAUUUUCUGUGUGUGUAGAUGCUUAAGCUUAAGCUUCUGUUAUUUGCUUCAGUUAGAGAUUAAAGAAGACUGAAAUUGAGUCGAUGGUGUAUAUACUUGAUAUAUAUAAAUGGUCAAAAUACGGAAGUGCUUUUAUGGAAGUCAAAUAUGCAGUUGUCUUCCUGAUUGAAUCUUCAUUGUUGAUUCCAAGUUUGCUGCUUCCUAAAAAGUGGAGAUUUGUAGUACGGACAGAACUUCAACCUAUUCAACAUAGAUCUUAAACUGACCAGACAAUAGUAUAAUAUUUUUUAUUUACGUCCUUAGAAUUGUAUUGCCACAAAAAACAUAUUUGGAAUCUCAAAGAAAGCAGGUUCUUAUGCUACAUAAUUGUUUCCUCCACUUAUAGUUAACCUCUCUAUUUUGUCGUCUCUAACAGCCAAGAUGAGUGCUUUACGCUUACGGCUCAUGCUAACUGAACUGGUGAUGUUUCUUUCUUCACCUCGAUUGACGCCACAUGUCCCCCCUGGUGAGUCUUGACACCAUGUUUAUACAAUUAAGAUCGCCCUCUGGUUGCUUGAACACAUUUGAUUUAUUGCAAAUUUUGGUACACUAUUUUGAUAGGAGUGUUCUUUGCUUACCGUUCACACUUACUAGGUGUUUUUCAGAACGUUUGUUAGAGCAUAGUUCAUGUAUCUGGUACCUUAGCAUUGUUAGCUUUUAAACUUGUUUUAUGUCCAUCACCCAGACAUCAUCUUAUGUUCUUCUCAAUUUGUGUGCGCAAAAGUUGCAAUUCCAUGUUCUAGGCUUAGCUCAACCAGAUAACAUGUAGGGAGUUCAAUUUUAUUUGUUAAUAUAAUGGUGGAAUCAUAUAUCUCUAAGGUGCAGUCAUUAGUCAAGUGUCAGUAACUUGCUGGUAGUUCUAUUAUGUCAUGAACUAAAAUGUUAAGGAGAUUUCUUCCGUUUUAUGAAUUAACGAUGUGGCCAACUGUUGUGAAGUCUCAAAAAUGAGAAAUGGUUGUCCAUCAGUUGGGCUCUUGAUUUUUUGCUUGGUUUUGUGAAAUACAUUUUGAUUAGGGUUAAGGUUGGCCUUUAGUCUCAGGUUGCCACGUCGUCCUCGUCUUCGGCUUGCAAGGGACUGGAUCUGGUGUGAUUGAUUCUUCCUCUCGCAAGGUGGGUACAUCCUCUGUUUCGAUUUCUUCCCCAAGUUUUGGUUUGCCUUACCGGAUUGCUUCGCGUCUAUACACGAUUAUACCCAAAGCUCACUUUCCUUUCUUAACUCAUCUGGGGUGGCUCUUGGAUCCAUCUGUCCUGUUUAGGUUAUGAUGGCCGACAAACAGCUCCAAGUUCACAGGUCGCCAGGCUCGCCGAGUGACGCUGGCUCCAACGGUGGUCUGUGAGCACUUGCCCAGGUCAAUUGAUAUUUGUGGUGGCCCUUCUCUGUUUUUACUUGGAAAAAUUUAGUCUGUAUGUGCCUCAGUGAUUUUUAAAAUCAAAGGAAAUGCUCUGUGCAGAAAAAUACAUAUCUAAUCUAGGGGGUAUAUGUAAUAGCGGUAGAUAAAUAAUAAUCUUUAGAUUCAGGCAGUAUACUACAAUCUGCCUUCUGGAGAGGGGCCUAUGCUUGCUAAGUUCUUUGUACGGUGCCUUCAGGGAGGCUGUGUGGUGCCGGCCGGAUGUACGGCGAGGUCUUCAUAAUGGCAUCUAGUCACCCUUGCCAUAUGGAUCAUAUGUAAGCUCUUCCUGCUAACCUACAGGAGUACAUUUUGAUGCUUCAAGUCUGAACCUAUGUAACUUGUGAACUAAUGCCUCCCUGAGUGUGUGUGUGUGUGUGUGCACGCGCUAUGUUAAAUCAAACUUCUUCAGACUACUGUGAAGUAAUGCCACUUGUCAUAUUGACCAAAUUUCAUUGCUUGAUGGCCAUUUAGAGAGGCCAUUUAGAGUUGUCAAAAAUCUAGGACUGUGAAGUCUAUUUACACUGUCAAAAAUCUCGGACUGUUUUCAGAGUUGCUACAACAAUGGAAUUUUCAGUUUGACAAAACAGUUUAAACUGAAAAUCUGGGACUUCACAUUUGCUACAACAGAGUUGUCAAAAAUUCAGUUUACACUGUUAGUUUGACAAAAACUGUCCAAACUGAAAAUUCAGUUAUAAUGGUGUAGGCAUUGUUAAUCUUUGGGGAUAAUUGUAGAUGUUGUGAAGUGAUUUAGAUGUCUGCUUUGCUGCGCAUACUGGCAUCAAAUAAUUCCAACUUAAUUCAGUAGAAAAUUGGUAACUCAUGUAGGUUGGCAUCAAAUUAUUGCCAGUAAUACAUUUAUUGGCAAUCAGUACAUGAUCAGUGACUGAACUAAGUUGUAAUCCUUUUGCUGAAUUGGCCCCUGUAUUACUGUAGUAAGC
rnacentral:lncRNA from 1 species